AGCAAAAUGAUGAGCCGAUGAUGAGCUGAAAUUCAUGUGGAAGCACAUAAAACAAUGGUCUUCAAGGUUCUCUGAUUGCU